GAUGAACGCUGGCGGCGUGCCUAAUACAUGCAAGUCGAGCGAACAGACGAGGAGCUUGCUCCUCUGACGUUAGCGGCGGACGGGUGAGUAACACGUGUAUAACCUACCUAUAAGACUGGUAUAACUUCGGGAAACCGGAGCUAAUACCGGAUAACAUGUUGAACCUCAUGGUUCAACAGUUAAAUACGGUCUUUCUUUCUCUUAUAGAUUGUUCCGCGCCGCAUUAGCUAGUUGGUAAGGUAACGGCUUACCAAGGCAACGAUGCGUAGCCGACCUGAGAGGGUGAUAGGCCAAACUGGAACUGAGACACGGACAAGAGUCCUACGGGAGGAAGCAGUAGGGAAUAUUCCGCAAUGGGGGAAAGCAUGACGGAGAAACGCCGCGUGAGUGAAGAAGGUCUUCGGAUCGUAAAACUCUGUUAUUAGGGAAGAACAAAUGUGUAAGUAACUAUGCACGUAUUGACGGUAACUAAUCAGAAAGCCACGGCUAACUACGUG
rnacentral:rRNA from 1 species